GGAUAACCUACCUAUAAGACGGGGAUAACUUCGGGAAACCGGAGCUAAUACCGGAUAAUAUAUUGAACCGCAUGGUUCAAUAGUGAAAGACGGUUUUGCUGUCACUUAUAGAUGGAUCCGCGCCGCAUUAGCUAGUUGGUAAGGUAACGGCUUACCAAGGCAACGAUGCGUAGCCGACCUGAGAGGGUGAUCGGCCACACUGGAACUGAGACACGGUCCAGACUCCUACGGGAGGCAGCAGUAGGGAAUCUUCCGCAAUGGGCGAAAGCCUGACGGAGCAACGCCGCGUGAGUGAUGAAGGUCUUCGGAUCGUAAAACUCUGUUAUUAGGGAAGAACAAAUGUGUAAGUAACUAUGCACGUCUUGACGGUACCUAAUCAGAAAGCCACGGCUAACUACGUGCCAGCAGCCGCGGUAAUACGUAGGUGGCAAGCGUUAUCCGGAAUUAUUGGGCGUAAAGCGCGCGUAGGCGGUUUUUUAAGUCUGAUGUGAAAGCCCACGGCUCAACCGUGGAGGGUCAUUGGAAACUGGAAAACUUGAGUGCAGAAGAGGAAAGUGGAAUUCCAUGUGUAGCGGUGAAAUGCGCAGAGAUAUGGAGGAACACCAGUGGCGAAGGCGACUUUCUGGUCUGUAACUGACGCUGAUGUGCGAAAGCGUGGGGAUCAAACAGGAUUAGAUACCCUGGUAGUCCACGCCGUAAACGAUGAGUGCUAAGUGUUAGGGGGUUUCCGCCCCUUAGUGCUGCAGCUAACGCAUUAAGCACUCCGCCUGGGGAGUACGACCGCAAGGUUGAAACUCAAAGGAAUUGACGGGGACCCGCACAAGCGGUGGAGCAUGUAGUUUAAUUCGAAGCAACGCGAAGAACCUUACCAAAUCUUGACAUCCUCUGACCCCUCUAGAGAUAGAGUUUUCCCCUUCGGGGGACAGAGUGACAGGUGGUGCAUGGUUGUCGUCAGCUCGUGUCGUGAGAUGUUGGGUUAAGUCCCGCAACGAGCGCAACCCUUAAGCUUAGUUGCCAUCAUUAAGUUGGGCACUCUAAGUUGACUGCCGGUGACAAACCGGAGGAAGGUGGGGAUGACGUCAAAUCAUCAUGCCCCUUAUGAUUUGGGCUACACACGUGCUACAAUGGACAAUACAAAGGGUAGCGAAACCGCGAGGUCAAGCAAAUCCCAUAAAGUUGUUCUCAGUUCGGAUUGUAGUCUGCAACUCGACUAUAUGAAGCUGGAAUCGCUAGUAAUCGUAGAUCAGCAUGCUACGGUGAAUACGUUCCCGGGUCU
rnacentral:rRNA from 1 species